AGAUUUGAUCCUGGCUCAGGAUGAACGCUAGCGGCAGGCUUAACACAUGCAAGUCGAGGGGCAGCGUGGAGUAGCAAUACUCUGACGGCGACCGGCGAAAGGGUGAGUAACGCGUGAGCAACACGCCCGGUAGUGAGAAUAGUCGAUGGAAACGUCGCGUAAUACUCCGUAACACAGAGGACCGCAUGAUCUUCUGUUUAAUAGAUUUUAUCGCUACCGGAUUUGGCUCGCGUACCAUUAGCUAGUUGGCGGGGUAACGGCCCACCAAGGCGACGAUGGUUAGGGGUUCUGAGAGGAAGGUCCCCCACAUUUGGAACUGAGACACGGUCCAGACUCCUACGGGAGGCAGCAGUGAGGAAUAUUGGACAAUGGCCGAAGAGGCUGAUCCAGCCAUGCCGCGUGGCGGGAAGACGGCCCUAUGGGUUAGUAAACCGCUUUUGUUGGGGAGCAAUAAGGUCCACGUGUGGAUCGAUGAGAGUACCCAGCGAAUAAGCAUCGGCUAACUCCGUGCCAGCCGCCGC
rnacentral:rRNA from 1 species